GUAAAAUGUGUUGCCAAGUUUUUCAGGAAGUGCUAGUGGCCAUUUUGAUGAUGUGAACUAGAUUUUAAAACAGAAAGAGGAAAAAUGAAUGUGGUGGACAAGGGCUGCUGACAAUAUUAGAUAGAAUCAGACCAGGUUUCGCCAUGUUGGCCAGGCUGGUAUCCAACUCUUGACCUCAAGUGAUCUGCCCACCUCAGCCUCCCAAAGUGCUGGAAUUACAGGCGUGAGCCACAGCGUGCGGCACCAGCAUUCUUAUAAGAAAAGAGAAAUGGACGCAGAGGUACACAGAGAGAACACCAUGUGAAGACAGAGGCAGAGAUUGGAGUCGUUCUCAUCUACAAAGCUGAAGAAUUCCAAGGAUUGCCACUAAUCACCAGAACCCAAGAGGGGAGCAAGGAACAGAUUCUCCCUCAGAGCCUCAAAAAAGAAACCAACCCAGUGAACACCUUGAUUUCUGACUUCUGAACUCCAGAAUCACAAGAGAACACAUUUCUCUUGUUUUAAGUCACCCGAUUUGCGAAUUUGCUAUACUUCCUUUUGGCAACCAUGGGAAACAAACACAGUCGCUAAGAAGGUGUCUCGCUCUCAGAUUUUAUCAGCUAUCCUCACUGCUCUGGACCUAGGCUCUAGGAGACAGUUUGGAAAGGAGAGACGGCGGCUGGGUGAGAGGACAGAGGGCUUGGGAGCCUGGGGGUGGCAUCACAGGAUUUCUCCGCGUCACCUUGGUCGGUGACAUGGUUUCCUGAGCAUGUGCGUCAGCCCUUGGAGAUGUCCAGCGUAAGUCAAAGCCUUUGUUCCCUACGAUAACCUUGAGAGAUGACUCAGUAGAGAAGAAGGCAGGCUGUGGGGUGGGGGAAAUGGUCAGUGCAGCUACAAAUGAGAGCCUGUUCCUGGCUCAAGGGGAGGACAAGGCAGAAAAACAACAACAGUAAUUACCAUUCCCUGUUGUUUCCCUGGACCGACCUCCCCUCGUCCUCCACCCGGAUGAUCCUGAGGCCUAACUCUCCUCUCUGUCCUCACCCUGCACCCAUUCUUCCCCACCAUCUGUUUUAUUAUUUUUUUAAUUCCACUUUAUGGAGAAAUAUAACUUACAUAAAAUAAAACACACCAAUUUUGAGUGUAGAGUUCAAUAAAUUUUGAUAAAAUGCUUAUCAAAUCC
rnacentral:lncRNA from 1 species